UAUUUGAGAGAGAGAGAGAGAGAGAAAGAGAGAGAGAGAGAGAGAAGCAGAGGGAGAGACAGAAUCUUAAGCAGGCUCCACUCUCAGCACUAAGCUGAAAUCAAGAGUUGGAUGCUCAACCAACUGAGCCACCUAGGUGCCCCAAAGAUUCUGCUUUCACUUAAUAAUUGCUAUUUUAAAACAGUUCAUCUAUUGCCUUUCUCCUGAUGACUUUCAUUUCAGUCAAUGGCAGAAACACCAUUUCCUUUGUUUUGGAAGCCUAAAGAGUUGGAGUCAGAGCCACAUGAUCUUCAGGCUGGGAUCAGACUCCUGUCACCCCUAUCCACCCCAUUCCCACUUUUUCAUAAUCCUGGCAUUGGAGCCUCACGGUCUUUAUUUGCUCCCUCUACACAGAACGGUGGUCUCCAAGACUGAUCCUCUCCUGUUCUUUCAGCCAAUCUUCACGUCAGCGUCUCUCAAGACAUAGGGCUCCGAACUAAACACAGAACUCCAGGAUACUGUAUAGCCUGAUGGUCUUUGUGUGUGUGUGAGCUACACUUCUAAUAAAACACUGCGUAUACUGUAAACAUCUGGAUGAACACAAGGUGGCGCUACAAGCACCUACAAAGCCUAAACCCCUGGGUAUGGCUCGCUAGCACAACUCUGGCCGCACAAGUCUGUCAGAUAGGAAUUAAUAUCCUUACCUGACAGAUCAGGGUAUUGGAAAUUUAGAGAUUAAGUCAUUUGCCCAAGGUCAUACAACUAGGAAGUGGCAGAGAUAGAACUCUGCCUAAGCCAGAGUCUGAUUUAGGGGCUAACAUUCUCUUUAUCACAUUGCACUACACAUGAAAUGGUAGCCCUCAUCUUUUCCCAUUUAUUUAUUACUUCAGUGAGUCUUAAGGGGACAGUGAUCACAACCCCAUGGUGGGGGGGUUAGAAUCAUUCCUAAGGGACGUGUUCAAAAUGUACCCUCUAGUAGUCAUCCCCAAUCUGUGCUAAGAGCAACCUUUGUCAUUCUCCCUUUGCUUACUGUGCUCCAGCCACACUUCCUGCUGUCCUUAAACAUGCCUAGUUCAUUAACAUCUCAGGGUCUUUUGCACUUGCUGUUCUGCCCCAGAUCUUCUCAUCAUUCAGGCAUCAGCUCAAACAUCACUUUCUCAGUGGCGACCAUCCCAGUCACAAGUCACACUCUAUCUCAUUAUCCUGUUUUAUUUUCUUUUUAACAUUUAAUCACUAUCAGAAAGUAAUCUCAUUUGUUUAUUGUCUAUUACUCCUCAUGAGGGCUCCAAAAAAGCAGGGUUUCUGAAUUGUUCAUUGAUGUAUCCCCAGUGCCUAGAAUAGAGCCAGGUAUGUAGUAGGUACUGAAUGAAUAUUUGUUAAAUGAAUGAAUCCCCACUGUCUCCCUUGGUUCAGUCUAGUCUCACUGCAUCCAGAUCUUCUUACAUAAAUCAGACUGCUUCCUAAAAUACCAAUUUUAUCCCAUGGCCCUACUGCCCACAGAAUAAAGUCUAAUCUUCUCAAACAGGUGUCCAUACCUGCCACCAAUUAGGCUGCUCUCCCCUCAAACUUCCACACCUGCCAUUCUCAUUGACACCACUCUCCCCACUCUGUCCCCAACUUUAAGCACACAGCUUUCCCUCCUGGGAAUGCCUCCCUCCUUUCCAUUUAUUUAAAUAUCAAAUUUCAAGGCUGAAUGGACCCUGGCUAUCAGAUUAGGUAUUCCCAACCCCAGCUUUAUUAUACCCCCUAUCUGAAGUAUGUUUGUAUUAGACUGUUUAUUUCUACUCUUUAAAAAUCCUCCCUAAGUCCCCAGGAUAGGGUUUGAGGCAGGGAAGUAAGCUCAGAGAAGAAGGAGGAGCCUAACCUGGGGAGUGGGUCUCAGUUAUGUCCCCAGGGAAAACAGACUAAGGCUUCACAUUUUUCUACGUGACAGCUCUUAAGAAAACUGGAGUCAGAGACCACGUUCAUACAAGUCUGCUGUUCUAUAGGUGACAUAGUCCCAGUCCCUCAGUUCCUUCUUAAAAUGAAGCACCUAGAACUUCCAGGUGAGCACUAACUGGUGCAGGGAGUAGAGGACUAUCAGCUUCUCCCUUCUGGAGUCUAUCAAUGAAUCCAGUCAUUUUAACUUUUGGAAGGAAGCCCUUCCAAACUGCUGACUCAUUCUGAGUUUGCUAUCAGUUAAAUAUCCCAAAUCAAUGGAAGUACAUACAGCUCACCUGUCAAACUUCACAUUGUUCCCUGCUUUUUUAAUUUUGUUCUUUCCAGACUUGGUAAGAUCUUUUUGAAUCCUGACUCUGCUGCUCAGAAUCUCAAAGAGAUCUCUGCUUCUUUUGUCAUUCAUGAAUUCUUUUGAAUAGUCACUCAUAGCAAAGAAUCGAGAGAAGAGACCUGUGGUAAGUCACUGGAGACUUAUGGAACAGAACAGCAUCUCUAUAUGAAAAGUCUUACCUGAUAACAAAACAAACAACACUUUUAAUGCAUCUCUGACCAGGAUUGGUCUUGCCCUAAGAAUGCCAGCCACAACAUCCCCUGUGCCUAGAGACACCUGCCAGACAGUACAGUCUAAGAAGGGAGUAGGUUCCAAGGGACUCUGGCCAAUCUCUGCUGUUUCUGACCCCCCUCUUCCCUAGAGACCUCCCUUUCCAUCCCCACCCCAAGAACAGCUCCUCUGUGUAUGUUUAGGAGUGUGAAGUCUUCUGAUGGGCUGUGAUCUCCCUAACAGCAGAGAUAAAACCAUUUAUGUUUUUUUAACCCAUUUCCUUUGAGAAGCCAAGGGACCCCAACCUGAGGCCACAGCACAGCACAAUCCCCUUUAUCUCCCUUUCCCCUGCUUUAUCUCCUCUUUCUUUCCAAACCCUCUGAGAUCUGACUGCCACCCUCACUGCUCCCAAAUGUUGCUUUCUGGAUUCUUCAGCCUUAAUGUUAGCAAUUUCACUUCAAAUUUUGUUGAACUCUUUUUGAAAUUUUCUCCUCAUUUAGUGCAUGUACCUUCACUCUCCCCUGGUUUUCCUCUAAUAUCCUAAUUCUUCUCAGUCUCCUUGGGAUGUUGCUCUGCUCACCCUUAAAUCAUUGUAUCCUCAGGGCUCUCUGUCCUUGUUCCUUUUAUAACUCCACACAUUCUUCCUGGAUGCUCUCAUCCACUCAAAGCUUCAACCACCUCUUUUUUUAAAAGUUAUUUUUAAAAAUUUAAUUUAAUUUUAUAUAUUUUUAAUUUUUUCUUUAAAUCCAAGUUAGUUAACAUAUAGUGUAAUAAUGGUUUCAGGAACAUAAUUUAGUGAUUCAUCACUUCCAUAUGACACCCAGUGCUCAUCCCAACAAGUGCCCUCUUAAUGCCCGACACACAUUUAACUCAUUCCCCUACCCACCUCCCCUCCAGCAACCCUCAGUUUGUUUUCUGUAUUUAAGAGUCUCUUAUGGUUUGCCUUCUCUCUGUUUUUAUCUUAAUUUUCCUUUCUUCCCCUUUGUUCAUCUGUUUUGUUUCUUAAAUUCCACAUAUGCAACUACCUCUUUUAUUCUGACGACUCUGAUCAUAGCCAUCCCCUGACUCCCAGGAUAUCCUUCCAAUCUACCUUCCACCCAAACAACCAGUGAUCUUUCUAAAACGCAAAUGAAAACAUGCUACUAAGCUGUUAAAAACAAACAAAAUGCCACUUCCCUGAUUAAAUCCUUCAAAAGUUCCAUCCACACCCCACCAUGGCUAUACCAAAUUAUUUGCAGUUUCUGGAAAGCAUCAAGUUAUUUUGCACCUUUGUAGUUUUAUACAGACUACUGUAUGAAUCUAGAAUGUUCUUUCAAGUCUCCACAAAGCCUAUUCCUAAUCGUCCUUCUAGACUGGUUUUAAAUAUAAAUUAUGUUAGCAGUCCUUUUCUGACAUGUUAGUCUGGAUAGCCCUCUCAUAGACCAGUACCAUAUACUGUCAUCUCUGUGUUUUAAUUAUGUUUCCUUUUCUGUUUUCAUCCUUAGUCCGUAUUCUUUGAGGGCAGAGACUGUCCCUCAUAUCUAUCACCAGCAUUUAACACAGAGCCUUUAUAAAAUAUUUAAAUGUAAUAAAAUAAAUAGGAAAAGAGAGGACCCAGGAGGCUUUAAAGGUCUAGCGACUGGUUUCAGACUCUUUGAUGAGUGGCAACAAUCACUGAUCAAAGAAUGGACUUCACUGACACCCAGUAUGGUCUGCCUAUUGGACAUAUCCCUUAAGCACUGUAAAUUCCUAAAUGUCCAAAACUAAACUCGUGCCUUAUCCCUUUUCCUAUAAAUCUACUUUAGUGUUUGAGGUCUCUAUCCACGUACCCUCAUCUUUCCAGUCAUCCAGGCUUACAAUCACAAUCUUCUGUGUUACUUCCUUUCCCAAUAUAUCAAUUUCUAAAUCCUGACUUUAUCUCCUCAGUGUCUUUGUUUAUCCUCUAUCCCUCCUUCCCCUGGUGACAACUGUAGGACAUGACCUGGACUGGAAAGAUUAAUCUAGGCUGAGGAACCUUUAGUGGUUAUGGAUGGGGUGGUUGCCAGGGCCCUAUCACUGAGGAAGCCAUGCAUGUAUCUUCAUAUUCUCCAGCUAGGUUCCUUACCGUCAGCUCUAGCUCUUGCAUCCUUCUGUGUAUGGCUGUUGGCUGGGCUCCCUGGGAGAGCAGGCCCUGGAUCCAUCAGCUGGGCCAGGGGGCCUUGCCCAGCAGCUCUGAGGCCAGUAGGUGGCAUCUCAUUGGACUGGGGGCCCUGACAGACCUGGGUGGACCAGGGCUCUGGGCCAACUAGGUCCAUGCCUGGCCCCGAAGGCAUGGGUGGUAGGCUAUGGCUACAGCGAACGCCCUCAUCCAGUGGGCCCACCCUAUCUUGUUGGGCUUCUUGGAUGGGUGAGAACUCCUGGGAGGACUCUCCGAUGCUCAGUCGAAGUGGCGGAGAGCCAGAGCCUGCAGCUUUCUUCCGGCCUUUGGCGAGCUCGGCGAAGGAGGUGACCCGCCUAGGCGGGGAGCCAGGCCCAGCGAGGGCUGUAGGACCCUCACUCAGGCGCACUGGGCAACUCAACAUGCGUUCCAGUGAGCCCAGGCGGACAGGAGGGCUGCGCGCCAGGGUGCGAUCACAGCUUCGAGAGCGCUGGCGUCCAGUGCUAAGGUUGGGGGGCGAAGUGUUAGUGUACACUUGCCCCUCGAUCACAGCAGGGCCCACAGGAGCUGCUGCUUCCACUGAGGAACCCACUGCUUCUUGCUCCUCUGGCUGGACUUCUGGCCUCUGGAAUAGGUAAUACUCAGAGGGCUGGCUGGGGCCAGGGUCUGGACCAGGGCCUGGUGCCGGGCUUAUCUUGGUGUGUUCCUCAGAGCAGCUGGUGAUGGAAGAGCCAGCUGGGCUUGGGGAUGAUUGGGAGGACAGGUCACAGGUGACAAGUUUAUAGUAAUUCUGUGUGGCCACAACAAGACGGGCCUGGCUCUGGAAGCAGGCUGUGAGGUCAGCCACAGCUGGGCAGGGCUCACAGUGUGGGCGGUAGGAGUUGCAGUUGGCAUCGAGCUCAGGAGACGAGGCAUGAGGACAGCCAUAGCUCCCCUCCCUUCCCCCACUGUCGGGGUGGUGGGACUCACAAGACAUCUUAGACUCAGCUGGGGAGGGCUGCAGGUCCAGGUAGAAGGCGCCAGGGUCUGAGUGGCUGCAGAAGGAAGAGUUGCUGCAAGACUGUGGGGCGGAGUUGAGAUUGGCACGGGAGUUGCCAUGCAUCUUGUUGUAGAGGGUGCUGAAGGUGACCAGCACACCGUCUGAGCUGUUGCAGGAGGAGUCACUCACAUAGCCCAUGGACUGGUCAGCCGCCUCAGACUGACUGGAUGUGCUACUGCAGCGGCAGUGCUGAGGUCCUGAGCCUGAGCAUCUUGGGUUCCUUGGGGAUUCAUCUGAACUGAGUUUCCAUUCGUGAUCAAAGGAAAAGCCAGAGGUAUCACUGGCUCCACCCCCACUGCCACUCCCACCAGGCCCCCCACACUCAUCCAGUUCCAUGGUCUCCGCUUCCAGUUCUGGCCGGCAGCAGUGGCUGGUGCUGCACUGCUGGGUAUCCAAGGUGGCCACUGGCUCCUGCUCCUGCCCUUCCACUACUCCAGCCCGACUACGUGUUGCCCCCCAUGGCCUGCUCACUCUAGGGCCAGGUGGUGGCAGCUGGAAAGGGGACAGAUGUAAGGUGGGCUGACCAGCCCCAUGCAGGUGGAAGGACUGCUGGGUGGCACUAUCACCAGUGCUGUCAUCAUAUAGGUCACCAAGUCCUGGCUCAGCCACACUUUCCUGUAGCAGGAAGGGAUUGUGUCGUUUAGGGGCCCCGGGGCCUCUUCCAUCCCGCACCCUACUCUUCGUGCUGUCUGCAGACCGCGCAGAUCCCCCCGGAGCAGAGUGCAGACUGUUGUAUAGCAGCGAGUCAGCUUGUCCUAGGUCUUGAUCAGGCUGGGUGAUGCCCAGCUCAGGUGGGCAGAAGGGAUUGGAUCUUGUGCUCCCACUACCCCCACCUGCCCCUCCACAGCACUGUCUGUCUGGGACUUGACAGUGCACCAGGGGGAUGUGGUGGACGAUGAGGGUCUCUCCAGUCAGCUUUGGGGGACUAUCCAUUCUGGAAAUUUCGAACAAGGGCAUCAACAGCACCAGACACUGCCCCUGGAGCCCAGUGGGGCAGAACACAUUUCAUCAGGAGAGCUUGGCACCUGGAGAGAGAGGGAAAGAAAGGGAACCUAAUGUCACCUCCCUGGAAGUCAGGGACAUGCCCUUCCCAUAGCAUUUUCAGGUGGAGAAGAGCCCAAGAGGAGAAAAGAUUCGGAGUCAAGAUGGAGCUUGAUAACACAGCCCAACAGGGCAGGGGUACCCCACCAUACUCUGGACUGCACAGGCCCAGCUCUUGAGCACCCCCUUAAUUUUAAGUUGGCCAUGCAUCCACUUGUGACCAAAGGCAGAGCCCCUUUUAAUGCCACAUACGAAAAUCUCGGGGUUCUCAAGGGCAACACUUUCUCGUUUUCUUUCAAGGAUGUGUUCUUAGCAGUAAAUGAUGACUAGUCCUGAGUACAGAAAAGUAUGAGUAGUGACAUAACUAAGAAAAAUCAUCUAGGAUGACUGAAAGGGUGCUCAGCACUAAGGGGGAUACAGAGAUGACUUAGUCACAGUUACAGCUUGCAAGCUUUCAGAUAAGGGGAAAAUCAUGAAUACUAUAUUAUGUACUCACAGCAGUAAGCUAUAAUUUUGCAAGAAAACUAUUUUUAAAUAUUCUCUAUCAUUUGCCCCCCUAUGUCAUCUCAUUUUCUCUUCCUCUGAGCCCCAGAAUGCUUAUCCCUCUCUCAUGGCUGUGGGCUAAGGAUCCUUGCUCUCCUUACUACUGUUCUGGAGCUUUUUCUUCUUCUUUUUAAAGAUUUUGUUUUUAAGUAAUCUCUAUACCCAACGUGGGGCCUGAACUCACACCCCCAAGAUCAAGAGCCACAUGCUCCACAAACUGAGCCAGCUAGGUGCCCCUGUCCUGCAGCUUCUUGAAUACAGAGACCAAAUUGGGCAUCAAAGUGACUGAAAGUAUGCUAAUCUCUUCCUUCUCAAUGCAGGGCGGGUGUCUAUUUCUAUCUCUUUUGUAUCACUCAGGCACAACAUCACAUAAGACCUAGCAAACAUGACAGCCAUAAUACAUUCUUGUCCAGCUCAGGGUACAGAUCUUCUGAAGUGCCCAAAUUCUAUCCAGUUUCAGCUCAGAACUUUCACUGUGGGGGUCUCCUAGAAAGUCUUCUCUUCCCAGUUUUUCCUCUGAUAGGCUAAGGUAAAGUUCUCUCUUGUUCAAGGUCUCCUGGCCCCAAGGACACAGAGCCCACUCUGAGCUUCUCUGGUCUGUUGGCUGGACUGUGGCAGAAUGGCUUCCUCAAAUUCUAGUCUUCUGUGCUAUCAAGUUCAAUCCUAACAGUCCUCACUUGCUCAGAUGCCUCAUAUCUAAUUUCAUUCAUUUCUCUUCCUUCCCUUUUUAUUCUUGUCAUUUUCCUUCCACCCACUAUGAGUAUAAAUCCCCCACAACCUAAGUUCUCCAUCAUUUAGCUGAAUGCUUUAUACCAUCAAUUUUUAAAAUUUUAACUCAUUUAGAUUAUAGGAUCACAGCCCUUCAUGUGGAGUACAGAAAAGAUCUAGGCAAGUCACAUAUACUCAAGGACAUGAAAAGGCAAUAAUAAAUGAAAAAAUUCAAGUGGCUGAUAAAUACAUUUGUGAGGGAUACAGUUUUAAAAUAUCAUUAUUUACAAAUUAAAUUACAUCAAAAUUAAAAAGUAUUUACCCUCUUUUUCCCCCUUUCCUUUCAGAGAGGAAGACUUUGUUGGACUUCCAAUCCUUUGUGAGUUGACUGGGGGUAAUAGAUAUAGGGGUAGUAGAUACGGAGAAAGGUGGAAACUAGACAGACUAAACUGAGCUACAAGGUUUGAGUUAUAGAAAACAAGGGAAUAAAUAUUUUUUACCUUGGAUUAGGUGAUGGUUUCUUCGCUAUGACACCAAAAGCACAAGUGAAAAGUGAGAAAAUAGAUAAGGUGGAUGGACAUCAUAAAAAUUAAAAACCUUCAGGCGUCAAAGGAUACCAUCAAGAAAAGACAACCCACAAAAUGCGAGAAAAUAUUUACAAAGAGACUUCUGAUCAAAAUAUAUGAAGAACUCUUACAACCCCACAUUAAAAAGACAUAUAACCCAAUUAAAAACUGGGCAAAGACUUGCCUAGACAUUUUUCCAAAGUAAACACACAAAUGGUCAAUAAACACAUGAAAAGAUGCUCAACAUCAUUAGUCAUUAGAUAAAUGAAAACCACAUUGAGAUACCACUUCAUCCCCAGCAUGAUUCCUAAGAUACAAGACAGACAAUAAUAAAUGUGUGAAAAUGUGGAGAAAUUGGAACUCUCAAACUUUGCUGCAGGCAUUGUAAAAUGGUGCUACUUUGGAAAAAUAGUCUGACAGUGCCUUAAAAUGUUAAACAUAGAGUUACCAUAUGACCCAGCAAUUCUACUCCUAGGUAUAUACUCAAGAGAAAUGAAAACACAUGUUCACACAAAAGCGUGUAUAUGAGGGGCACCUGGCUGACUCGGUAAAGCAUGUGAGUCCUGAUCUCAGGGUUGUGAGUUCAAGCCCCAAUUGGGUAUAGAGCUUACUCAUCUAUCUAUCUAUCUAUCUAUCUAUCUAUCUAUUCAUUUAUAUUUUAUUUUUUAAUGUUUAUUUAUUUUGGAGAGAGAGAGCACAAGCAGGGGAGGGGCACAGAGAGAGGGAGACUGAGGAUCCAAAGUGGGCUCUGCACUGGCAGCAGUGAGCCCCAAUGCAGGGCUCAAACUCAUGAACUGUGAGAUCAUGACCUGAGCCAAAGUCAGAUGCUCAACCCUCUGAGCCACCCAGGCAUCCCUAUUUAUUUAUUUUUUUAAUUUGGUUUUUCUUUUUACUUUUCUUCUAAGAUUCUAUUUUUAAGUAAUCUCUUCACCCAGUGUGGGGCUUGAACCUAUAACUCUGAGAUCAAGUGUUGCAUGCUCCACUGACUGAGCCAGCCAGGCACCCCAGUGUAGUGCUUACUUUAAAAAUAAAUAAAUAUGGGCACCUAGGUGGCUUAGUGGGUUAAGCAUUCAACUCUUGAUUUUGGCUCAAGUCAUGAUCUCAUGGUUAAUGAGACUGAGCCUUGCAUCAGGCUUUGCUCUGACAGUGCAGAGCCUGUUUGGGAUUCUCUCUCUCCCUCUCUCUCUCUCUGCCCCUCCCCUGCUCAGUCGCUUACUCUCUCUCCAAAAUAAGUAAAUAAACAUUAAAAUGAAUAAUAAAUAUAUAGAUAAAGCUGCACCAAAAAAAGAUGUUAAAAAAAAUAAUGUGAUAUAUACAUACAAUGGAAUACUAUUUAGCAAUAAAAGGAAUGAAGUGGUGAUCCAUGCUACAACAUGAAUGAACUUCAAAAAGUAAAAGAAGCCAGUCAUAAAAAGCUUUUUUGUAUGAUGUAGGAUUCCAUUUACAUGAAAUUUCCAGAACAGACAAACCCACAGAGCAGAAAAUAGAUUAGUGGUUUCCAGGGACUGGGGGACUGGGGAAUGGGGAGUGACUGCUAACAGGUAUGGAGGUUCUUUCUGGGGUAAUGAAAAUGUUCUGAGAUCAGACAGUGGUGAUAAUUAUGAAAGUCUGCGAGUAAAAUCAAAACUACAGAAUUUUAUGGUAUGUGAAUUAUACCUUAACAAAGCUGUUAUUUAAAACCUUUUUAAAAAAUACACACACACAAAAGGUUAGGAGUUAUGAGGUCAGGAGGGGUGAGGAAGGGAACCAGUGUUGAGCAGUGGAGGGGAUGGGGCAUUUGCAGAAACAAGUUGAGAACAAGAAAAGAGAAAGAGAGCUGGCUUAAAGUAUGGGAUUUUAUAGAGAGAAAUAAAGAGGAUUUUUAGGAAGUUUAGCUAUGAGGUACAUGAGAUAAUUUCUCUUUGCUCCUUCAUAUCUCUUCCUUCACCAAGAAAACUUGGGUUCAAAUAUUUAUGCCACAAGGAUAACAGAAAGUUGGAAACAACCUAAAAUUCCAAUAAUAAUCAAUCAACAAAAAAGAAAAGAGCAGGGGUACCUGGGUUGCUCAGUCAGUUAAGUGUCCAAUACUUUUUUUUUUCUUAAUUUUUUAAUGUUUAUUUAUCUUUGAGGGGGGUGGUGCAUAUAUAGAGGGAGACACAGAAUCGGAAGCAGGCUCCAGGCUCCGAGCUAUCAGCACGGAGCCAGAUGCAGGGCUUUAACUCACAGGCCCAGAGAUCAUGGCCUAAACCAAAGUCGGACACCCAAUUGACUAAGCCACUCAGGCACCCCAAGUGUCGCUUGAUUUUGGCUCAGGUUUCUCUCAGUUGGUAAGAGCAAGCCCUGUGUUGGGCUCUGCACUGACAGUGUGCAGUCUGCUUGGGAUUUUCUCUCUCCUCUCUC